UACGAAGGGGGCUAGCGUUGCUCGGAAUUACUGGGCGUAAAGCGCACGUAGGCGGAUUGUUAAGUCGGGGGUGAAAUCCUGGAGCUCAACUCCAGAACUGCCUUCGAUACUGGCGAUCUCGAGUUCGGGAGAGGUGAGUGGAACUGCGAGUGUAGAGGUGAAAUUCGUAGAUAUUCGCAAGAACACCAGUGGCGAAGGCGGCUCACUGGCCCGAUACUGACGUGAGGUG
rnacentral:rRNA from 1 species